GACGAACGCUGGCGGCGUGCUUAACACAUGCAAGUCGAACGAAGUGGCGAACGGGUGAGUAACGCGUAAUCCACCUGCCCUUCAGAGGGGUCUAACAGUUGGAAACGACUGCUCAUACCGCAUACUGAAGGUGGGGAUUGAGUCUGAUUAGCUAGUUGGAGGGGGAACGGCCCACCAAGGCGAUGAUCAGGAGCCGGUCUGGGAGGGUGAACGGCCACAUUGGGACUGAGACACGGCCCAGACUCCUACGGGAGGAAGCAGUGGGGAAUCUUCCGCAAUGGACGAAAGGCUGACGGAGCAACGCCGCGUGAGUGAUGACGGCCUUCGGGUUGUAAAGCUCUGUUAAUCGGGACGCGGUACCGGAAGAGAAAGCCACGGCUAACUACGUGCCAGCAGCCGCGGUAAUUC
rnacentral:rRNA from 1 species